rnacentral:rRNA from 1 species
AUUGAACGCUGGCGGCAGGCUUAACACAUGCAAGUCGAGCGGGGGAAGGUAGCUUGCUACCGGACCUAGCGGCGGACGGGUGAGUAAUGCUUAGGAAUCUGCCUAUUAGUGGGGGACAACAUCUCGAAAGGGAUGCUAAUACCGCAUACGUCCUACGGGAGAAAGCAGGGGAUCUUCGGACCUUGGGCUAAUAGAUGAGCCUAAGUCGGAUUAGCUAGUUGGUGGGGUAAAGGCCUACCAAGGCGACGAUCUGUAGCGGGUCUGAGAGGAUGAUCCGCCACACUGGGACUGAGACACGGCCCAGACUCCUACGGGAGGCAGCAGUGGGGAAUAUUGGACAAUGGGGGGAACCCUGAUCCAGCCAUGCCGCGUGUGUGAAGAAGGCCUUAUGGUUGUAAAGCACUUUAAGCGAGGAGGAGGCUACUUUAGUUAAUACCUAGAGAUAGUGGACGUUACUCGCAGAAUAAGCACCGGCUAACUCUGUGCCAGCCGCCGCCGUAA